rnacentral:rRNA from 1 species
AAUAGAUACCCGGGUAGUCCACGCCGUAAACGGUGGGCACUAGAUGUGGGGGCUCUUUCCAUGAGUUCCGCGUCGCAGCUAACGCAUUAAGUGCCCCGCCUGGGGAGUACGGCCGCAAGGCUAAAAACUCAAAGGAAUUGACGGGGGCCCGCACAAGCGGCGGAGCAUGCGGAUUAAUUCGAUGCAACGCGAAGAACCUUACCAAGGCUUGACAUAUACGGUCUAUCCCUAGAGAUAGGGAGUGCUUCGGCGCCGUAUACAGGUGGUGCAUGGUUGUCGUCAGCUCGUGUCGUGAGAUGUUGGGUUAAGUCCCGCAACGAGCGCAACCCUCGUCCUAUGUUGCCAGCGGGUAAUGCCGGGGACUCAUGGGAGACUGCCGGGGUCAACUCGGAGGAAGGUGGGGAUGAGGUCAAAUCAUCAUGCCCCUUAUGUCUUGGGCUUCACGCAUGCUACAAUGGCCGGUACAAAGGGCUGCAAUACCGCAAGGUGGAGCGAAUCCCAAAAAGCCGGUCUCAGUUCGGA